UAUAAUCCCAUACAUGAUCAACAACAUGCACAAAAAUUAAAACUUUUCUUCAUACAAACUGUCAUCUACUAACUCAACCUGUGCAUACUCUGAUCAUAUACAUAACAUAGUCCCUCUGUGGGAUCUCAUCAAGCCUUAAAGGCAAAACAACCUGUGUUGAGUUAGUUUACAUAAACAUCAUAACAUAAGAUCAUGUAUAUACAAAAGGGAUUAAC
rnacentral:lncRNA from 1 species